rnacentral:rRNA from 1 species
CUAACCAGGAUUCCCCUAGUAACGGCGAGUGAAGAGGGAAAAGCCCAGCACCGAAGCCUGCGGCAGUUUUGCUGUUAGGCAAUGUGGUGUUUGGGUCGGCUCGUGGGAUUGCCACUCCACUCCAAGUCCAGCAUUGAGUAUGGUCUACUGGAUUUGGCCCAGAGAGGGUGAAAGGCCCGUACGGGUGGAGGUAUCAGACAUGUGAGGCAAUUCACCAGGCCGACCUUAGAGUCGGGUUGUUUGAGAAUGCAGCCCAAAGCGGGUGGUAAACUCCAUCCAAGGCUAAAUACUAGCACGAGUCCGAUAGCAAA